UAAUCAAACACAGAUGAAAACAUUUUUUAAAUUCAAAUGAUGUGAGCCAGAAAGAUUCCCUUUAAGGCAGAGCCAAACGUGCCUACAUGUUGAAGAUGUUGCAUUUUCCGAGGACUUGUGAACGCAACGCUCCAUUUGACAGCGUGCUAGCAAACAUGGCGCCUGUUAGAGAGUGCCGUCAACACCUCUUGACUGUCUCUUUCUGUCAGCUGUCAGGAAGGAAGCUGGAUAGAUGAGGAGGCGGCCUGUGAGAUAGUAGGGAAUCGACCGCCACAACAUCUUUGGACGGGGCACGAACAGUUUCGACUUGGUUUCCUCACUUCAGGCGUUAUGUUAAACAGGUCAGAUAUGA